GACGAAGGGGGCUAGCGUUGUUCGGAAUUACUGGGCGUAAAGCGCGUGUAGGCGGCUUUGCAAGUCGGGUGUGAAAGCCCUCAGCUUAACUGAGGAAGUGCGCCCGAAACUGCAGAGCUUGAGUACCGGAGAGGGUGGCGGAAUUCCCCAAGUAGAGGUGAAAUUCGUAGAUAUGGGGGAGGAACACCGGUGGCGAAGGCGGCCACCUGGACGGAUACUGACGCUGAGACGCGAAAGCGUGGGUAGCAAACAGG
rnacentral:rRNA from 1 species